GAAGAAACACCUAAUGAACUAGCAUGUGAAGAAAAAGCUGAAGAACCAGCAGUUGAAGAGGUGAAACCUGAAGAACCAACAGGUGAAGAAGAAAAACCUGAAAAGAAUUUGCUAGUUGCAGACUCGAAGGAAAAAACUGACAGUAAAAUUCCCUGCAAUUCUAGCAAUGAUGCUGCUCAGUUUUUAGAAGAUGAUAAAAACCCUGAAAAACCAGCCGCCGUGAAAAAACUGGUUAUUGAAGAGAAACUUGAUAUACCAGCAAUUAUGGAGAAACCUGAAGAACCAACAAUUGAGGAGAAAUCUGAAGAACCAGUUGAGGAGAAACCUAAAGAACCAACUGUUGAAGAGAAACUUGAAGAACCAACAACUAAAGAAACACAUGAAGAGCUAGCAGGGGAGGAAGCACCUGAAGAACUACCACUUGAACAGAAACCUGAAGAACCAAUAGUUGGAGAGACCUCUGAAGAGAUAGCUUUCGAAGAGAAACAUGACAAACCAGCAAUUGAAGAGGAAAAACCAGAAAUGGAAACUUUCCUAGAGAAGAAUAUGCCAAUUAUCGACUCAAAGGACAAGAAUGACAGUGAAAUUCUAGGCAAUUCAAACAAUGAUGUUGCUUACUAUCCAACAGUUGAAGAUAAAGCUGAAGUACAGGUAGUCAAAGAAAAACAUGAAAAACAAGUGAUUGAAGAGAAAUGUGAAGAACCAGCGGUUGAUGAAAAAACUGAUGAACCAGCAGUGACAGAGAAACCUGAAGAACCACCGGCAGUGGAAAAAGAAACUGAAGAACAAGUCCUCGAGGAGAAACUUGAAGAACCAACAGUUGAGAAAUCUGAGGAACCUGUAGUUGAAGAAACACCUGAAGAUCUAGCAGUUGAAAAGAACCUUGAGAAACUAGUAACCGAAGAGAAACCUGAAAAGGUAACUUUGUUGGAAGAGAAUAUGUCAGCUAUAGAUUCAAACGGGAAGACUGACACUGAAACUGCAUGUGAUAACAACAUUGAUGUUGCAGACUAUCCAGCAGUUGAGGAAAAAACUGAAGAACCAAUGGUUGAGGAAAAACAUGAGGAACCGAUUGUUGAGGAUAAAGCUGAAGAACCAGUAACAAAUGAGAAACUUCAAAAAUUGGCAAUUGCAGAAACACUUGAAGAGCAAGCAAGAGCGGAAACACCUGAAGACCUAACAAUUGAGGAGAAACCCAACAAACCAGCAGUUGACGAGAUACCGGGAGAACUAGCUAUUGAACAGAAAUCUGAAAAACAAGUAGUUGAAACGGUGACUCUCUUGGAAAAGAAUAUGCCAGAUAUGGACUCAAGUCGCUCAACAGACAAGAUCAAUGGUGAAAUUCUGUGCAACGACAACAGUGAUGUUUCUGACUAUCCAGCUGUUGAGGAAAAACAUGAAGAAAUAGUAAUAGGGGAAAAAUAUGAGGAUCUAGCACCGAAAGACAAACUUAAAGAACCAGUUGUAUCGGAGAAAGUCGAAGAACUAAUGGUUGAGGAGACACCUGAAAAAUUAGUAGUUGAAGAGAAGCUUGACGAAACAGCUGCAGGGGAAGAAACAGUUGAUAAACCAGCACCGGAGGAGACACCUGAAAAAUUAGUAGUUGAAGAGAAGCUUGACGAAACAGCUGCAGGGGAAGAAACAGUUGAUAAACCAGCACCG
rnacentral:misc_RNA from 1 species